rnacentral:rRNA from 1 species
CCUACGGGAGGCAGCAGUGAGGAAUAUUGGUCAAUGGGCUUAAGCCUGAACCAGCCAAGUCGCGUGCAGGAUGACGGCCCUACGGAUUGUAAACUUCUUUUAUCCGGGAAUAACGCGCCUUACGUGUGGGGCUUUGCCUGUACCGUAUGAAUAAGGACCGGCUAAUUCCGUGCCAGCAGCCGCGGUAAUACGGCAGGUCCGGGCGUUAUCCGGAUUUAUUGGGUUUAAAGGGAGCGUAGGCCGCAUGUCAAGCGUGCGGUGAAAUGUCCGGGCUCAACCCGUGCCUUGCCGCGGGAACGGGCGUGCUUGAGUGCGCGGGAAGCAGGCGGAAUGCGUGGUGUAGCGGUGAAAUGCUUAGAUAUGACGAAGAACCCCGAUUGCGAAGGCAGCUUGCUGCAGCGGAACUGACGCUGAUGCUCGAAAGCGCGGGUAUCGAACAGGAUUAGAUACCCGAGUAGUC